CCAGACUCCUACGGGAGGCAGCAGUGGGGAAUAUUGGGCAAUGGGCGCAAGCCUGACCCAGCAAUGCCGCGUGAAGGAAGAAGGCCUUCGGGUUGUAAACUUCUUUUAUCAGGGACGAAGGAUGUGACGGUACCUGAUGAAUAAGCUCCGGCUAACUACGUGCCAGCAGCCGCGGUAAUACGUAGGGAGCAAGCGUUAUCCGGAUUUACUGGGUGUAAAGGGCGCGUAGGCGGGAUGGCAAGUCAGAUGUGAAAUUCCAGGGCUCAACCCUGGAACUGCAUUUGAAACUGUAGAUCUUGAGUGAUGGAGAGGCAGGCGGAAUUCCGUGUGUAGCGGUGAAAUGCGUAGAUAUACGGAGGAACACCAGUGGCGAAGGCGGCCUGCUGGACAUUAACUGACGCUGAGGCGCGAAAGCGUGGGGAGCAAACAGGAUUAGAUACCCUCGUAAA
rnacentral:rRNA from 1 species